CGUUCUGUAAGCCUGCGAAGGUGUGCUGUGAGGCAUGCUGGAGGUAUCAGAAGUGCGAAUGCUGACAUAAGUAACGAUAAAGCGGGUGAAAAGCCCGCUCGCCGGAAGACCAAGGGUUCCUGUCCAACGUUAAUCGGGGCAGGGUGAGUCGACCCCUAAGGCGAGGCCGAAAGGCGUAGUCGAUGGGAAACAGGUUAAUAUUCCUGUACUUGGUGUUACUGCGAAGGGGGGACGGAGAAGGCUAUGUUGGCCGGGCGACGGUUGUCCCGGUUUAAGCGUGUAGGCUGGUUUUCCAGGCAAAUCCGGAAAAUCAAGGCUGAGGCGUGAUGACGAGGCACUACGGUGCUGAAGCAACAAAUGCCCUGCUUCCAGGAAAAGCCUCUAAGCAUCAGGUAACAUCAAAUCGUACCCCAAACCGACACAGGUGGUCAGGUAGAGAAUACCAAGGCGCUUGAGAGAACUCGGGUGAAGGAACUAGGCAAAAUGGUGCCGUAACUUCGGGAGAA
rnacentral:rRNA from 1 species